rnacentral:other from 1 species
UGUUCUCUGUGGUGUACGCGUACGGGCUGGUUAAUCCUUGAGCCUAUAAGCGAUAUACUUUGGGACUAAUCUGUCGGCGAUGUUGCGCAGGGCCGCACUUUAGCGGCAAGCCUGAUUCUCCACGAGACGUCCCACCUUGAACCCUUGGUUCAAGUUUACGGCCAGUCGCGGCAUUGUGGAGAACAC